rnacentral:lncRNA from 1 species
AGUUAGUUGGUGAGUCUUGGCCUUGCUUCUCUAUUGAGAGCAAGAUUGUAAUUAGCUUAGUACUCUGGUUUGUAGAGGCUAAGAUAGGGAGUUUGAGCGGUUAUUCAUUAAAUAUACAUCAUUGUUCUAUCACAUACGUUUGAGAAGCUUGGCAAGUAGUGUGUGUCGCUUAGAUCUACCUUGAAGUGGGACUGGAGCAGCAGUAACAAAAGAACACGAGGGGAUCUAGCAGAACUUUAUGUAAACUAUUUUUGAGCUCUCUGUUUUUGAAGUAAUAAAAUAAUGAUUUGUGAAGUUGAGGUGUUCCCUUCACAAGCAUGUGUGUU